UACAGAGACGUCGAGCGUUGUUCGGAUUCAUUGGGCGUAAAGGGUGCGUAGGCGGUGAGGUAAGUCGGAUGUGAAAUCCCAGGGCUUAACCCUGGAAGGGCAUCCGAAACUCCCUCGCUCGAGGACUGGAAGGGAGACUGGAAUUCUCGGUGUAGCGGUGAAAUGCGUAGAUAUCGAGAGGAACACCGGUGGCGAAGGCGGGUCUCUGGACAGUUCCUGACGCUGAGGCACGAAAGCCAGGGGAGCAAACGGG
rnacentral:rRNA from 1 species